AUUCCAUUACUUCUGUGUAAUGCGAUGAGAGGACGGAGAAGGCUAAAUCAGCCUGGCGUUGGUUGUCCAGGUGAAAGGAUGUAGGCAUGUAUCUUAGGCAAAUCCGGGGUACUCUAUGCUGAGAUCUGAUAGCAAGCUGUACUUGUACAGCGAAGUGGUUGAUGCCAUGCUUCCAGGAAAAGUCUCUAAGCUUCAGUUACACAGGAAUCGUACCCGAAACCGACACAGGUGGUCAGGUCGAGUAGACCAAGGCGCUUGAGAGAACUCUGCUGAAGGAACUAGGCAAAAUGGUACCGUAACUUCGGGAGAAGGUACGCUGUUGUUGGUGAUGGAACUCGCUUCCUGAGCUGACGACAGCCGCAGAAACCAGGCCGCUGCAACUGUUUAUUAAAAACAUAGCACUCUGCAAACACGAAAGUGGACGUAUAGGGUGUGAUGCCUGCCCGGUGCUGGAAGGUU
rnacentral:rRNA from 1 species